rnacentral:rRNA from 1 species
AACGAACGCUGGCGGCAGGCUUAACACAUGCAAGUCGAACGCAUCCUUCGGGGUGAGUGGCAGACGGGUGAGUAACGCGUGGGAACGUGCCCUUCAGUUCGGGAUAACCCAGGGAAACUUGGGCUAAUACCGGAUACGUGCGAGAGCAGAAAGAUUUAUCGCUGAAGGAUCGGCCCGCGUCUGAUUAGCUAGGUGGUGGGGUAAUGGCCCACCAAGGCGACGAUCAGUAGCUGGUCUGAGAGGAUGAUCAGCCACAUUGGGACUGAGACACGGCCCAAACUCCUACGGGAGGCAGCAGUGGGGAAUAUUGGACAAUGGGCGCAAGCCUGAUCCAGCCAUGCCGCGUGAGUGAUGAAGGCCUUAGGGUUGUAAAGCUCUUUCGUCCGGGACGAUAAUGACGGUACCGGAACAAGAAGCCCCGGCUAACUUCGUGCCAGCCGCCGCUGUAA